rnacentral:lncRNA from 1 species
GCCUAGUGCAGCCAUGCCGUGCAAACCAGCUAAAGAGUAGGCUGGGCCCGAGAGCCCCCGACUGUUACCACACUGCCAGACUCUUGCAUUAUAUGGGUCACAGGAGUCAAGGCUGGAGGCGUGGGUAGAGGGGAAAGCCAGGACAUCACCCCAACACAGUGUCGAACCAGAACCCCAAGAACUGGCUCCCAAAGAGGAGGAAAAGGGCUGCUGCUCUGAAUCCAGGGUCUGUGCUCCUCUGACUAUACGGGUCUGCCUCCCUUUCAUUACCUGCUCCUUGAAGAUUGGGGAUCUCUGAGAGAGAUUACAUGGUGAGCAAGGAGGACAGCUGAGCUGGCAGGGUAGGCAAAGCCAAGCCAAAGAGGUUUCUCAACAGACAGACAGACUGACUUCAGAGAAUAGAAGACCCACAAGUUUGUAGGAAGCAGCAGGACUCAAGUCUUCACAAGCCCCCACCUCCAAGAGGAGAUCCUGGAACCAGAAAACCACAGCAAAGUUGGACAUUGAACUGGCUGUGUGAAUGCCUGCAGAACUGGCCUGAGGCUGCUUGGUGCAUCCUGGCAGAGAGAGUCCAGGCCAGGAAUCUUCCAGGAGGACCCUGGAU